rnacentral:rRNA from 1 species
AGAUUGAACGCUGGCGGCAUGCUUUACACAUGCAAGUCGAGCGGCAGCGCGGGGGCAACCCUGGCGGCGAGCGGCGAACGGGUGAGGAACACAUCGGAACGUGCCCCGGAGUGGGGGAUAACGCCGCGAAAGCGGCGCUAAUACCGCAUAUGCUCUGAGGAGGAAAGCGGGGGACCUGCGAGGGCCUCGCGCUCUGGGAGCGGCCGAUGUCCGAUUAGCUAGUUGGUGGGGUAAUGGCUCACCAAGGCGACGAUCGGUAGCUGGUCUGAGAGGAUGAUCAGCCACACUGGGACUGAGACACGGCCCAGACUCCUACGGGAGGCAGCA